UAAAUGUUUGAUUUUAGCUUAUAUUUUUAUGUUAUUAUUGAAGUUGUAUGAAAGUUAAAGCAUGAUUAAAAUGAUUUGGUUAAAAACCAAAUAAAAAUAAAUUUAAGUUAAAUCAUAAAAUUUUAUAAUCUCAGCAUGGAAUAUUAUAAUUAAAUAUACCAAAGUAUGAUAUAGCAAUAAUAUAAAAGUCUGAUAAAUACUUGUGCCAGCAUUCGCGGUUAUACUUUAAGACUAAGUAAAAAUUUUUAGGUUGUAGUUAAAUGAGUGAUUUAGAAACUAUAUGGGCAAUAAAGGGUAAAAUCAGAAUAUUGUUUUGUAUAAGAAAAAAUUUUAGUUGAAGCUAGGAAAUUUUAGUGAUAAACUAGGAUUAGAUACCCUAUUAUUCUAAAAUGAAUUAUUUAAACUUAAUUAGUAAGAGAUAAAUACUUAAAAUUUAAAAAAUUUGGCGGCAAUUUAAUCUUUUCAGAGGAACCUGUUUUAUAAUCGAUAAACCACGAAAAAUCUUACUUGCUUUUGUAAAACAGUUUGUAUACCAUCAUUAUCAGAUAAUUCUUAGAAGAAAAAUUAUUAAAUUUGGUUUAUCAGAAAAAUUAGAUCAUGGUGCAGUUAAUGAGCAAGUUAAAAUGGGUUACAAUAAAUUACUUUAUAACGGAUUAAGCAAAAUAAUUUUGCUAUGAAGGAGGAUUUGAUUGUAUUUUCAGUUUAAUAAGCUAAAAAGAUAUAAGUUCUAAAUUGUGUACAUAUCGCCCGUCGCUUUCAUUUAUAAGUGAAAUAAGUCGUAACAUAGUAGAUGUACUGGAAAGUGUAUCUGGU
rnacentral:ncRNA from 1 species